UGGGGACGGUGGGGGGGGGGGUUGCUGUAGCCGCCAUCUUGGAUUCCGCGGUAGCGGUGGCGGCAGUAGGGCGCCGCGUCUGGGGAGUGGCUUUCCCCUCCCCCUCCCCCCGGGUUCGGUGGCGGCGGCCCCUCCCCCUGGGGGGGUGGUGCGACGGCGGUGGCAUCUACGGCCAUGGCGGCGACUGCUGCUAACCCCGAAAUGUCAUGAGGU